GGCAGGCCUAAUACAUGCAAGUGGAAGGGUGUCUUCGGAUAUAGUGGCGCACGGGUGCGUAACACGUAUGCAACCUACCUUACAUUGGGGGAUAGCCUUUCGAAAGGGAGAUUAAUACCGCAUAAGACAGUAGUCUGGCAUCAGACAGCUGUUAAAGAUUUAUCGAUGUAAGCUGGGCAUGCGUCCAAUUAGUUAGUUGGCGAGGUAACGGCUUACCAAGACUAUGAUUGGUAGGGGAACUGAGAGGUCAAUCCCCCACACUGGCACUGAGAUACGGGCCAGACUCCUACGGGAGGCAGCAGUAGGGAAUAUUGGGCAAUGGACGCAAGUCUGACCCAGCCAUGCCGCGUGCAGGAAGAAGGCGUUAUGCGUUGUAAACUGCUUUUAUACAGGAAGAAACGACUCUUGCGAGAGGCAUUGACGGUACUGUAUGAAUAAGCACCGGCUAACUCCGUGCCAGCAGCCGCGGUAAUACGGAGGGUGCAAGCGUUGUCCGGAUUUAUUGGGUUUAAAGGGUGCGCAGGUGGUUUAUUAAGUCAGUGGUGAAAGACGGUCGCUCAACGAUUGCAGUGCCAUUGAAACUGGUAGACUUGAGUAAAGUAGAGGUGGGCGGAAUUGAUAGUGUAGCGGUGAAAUGCAUAGAUAUUAUCAAGAACUCCAAUUGCGUAGGCAGCUCACUUGGCUUUUACUGACACUCAUGCACGAAAGUGUGGGUAUCAAACAGGAUUAGAUACCCUGGUAGUCCACACUGUAAACGAUGAUAACUAGGUGUCGGCCGAAUCUGGUCGGUGCCACAGCGAAAGCGUUAAGUUAUCCACCUGGGGGGUACGCCGGCAACGGUGA
rnacentral:rRNA from 1 species